rnacentral:rRNA from 1 species
GACAGAGGGUGCAAACGUUGCUCGGAAUCACUGGGCGUAAAGGGCGUGUAGGCGGGAAGGAAAGUCAGAUGUGAAAUCCCUGGGCUCAACCCGGGAACUGCGUCCGAUACUGGAAGGCUUGAAUCCGGGAGAGGGAUGUGGAAUUCCAGGUGUAGCGGUGAAAUGCGCAGAUAUCGGGAGGAACACCAAUGGCGAAGGCAGCUUGCUGGGACGGUACUGACGCUGAGGCGCGAAAGCGUGGGGAGCAAACAGG